rnacentral:rRNA from 1 species
UACGUAGGGGGCAAGCGUUGUCCGGAAUCAUUGGGCGUAAAGCGCGUGUAGGCGGCUCGGUAAGUCUGCUGUGAAAGUCCAGGGCUCAACCCUGGGAUGCCGGUGGAUACUGUCGAGCUCGAGUCCGGAAGAGGCGAGUGGAAUUCCUGGUGUAGCGGUGAAAUGCGCAGAUAUCAGGAGGAACACCAAUGGCGAAGGCAGCUCGCUGGAACGGUACUGACGCUGAGGCGCGAAAGCGUGGGGAGCGAACAGG